rnacentral:misc_RNA from 1 species
CAUGAAUUCAUAAACAAGUAGAAACUCACCUUUAUCAUGGCACCAACCCAAGAGUUGAGCCAGAUUCCGGUGUCUCAAUUGGCCAAUGGUUUUCACCUCAGUAAUAUGCUCCUUUUUACCUUGUCUAGAUCCUCUUGAAACUUACUUCACAGCAAUUGCUAAAUCCAUAUCAAUUAAGUAUCCCUUGUAAACAGCACCCUCCUUUCCCCAGCAUCCUUUCUUCCGAGAAGUUAUUGGUAGCUGAAACGAGAUCUUCAUAAGAAAACCUUCUUGGUCCAGCUCUUCUUUCCAAGGUCUUCAUUGAUUGAUGUCAAGUUUACUUCCUCCCCUUCUUUCUUUUCCACCGUCUGUUUCCUCCUCCUCCAAGAAAUCAGAAUUUUUAUCAUAGCCCCAGAUGUGAGAACACAUACUGAAAUUGCAAUACCAACUAUUAUUCUGAUCCUCUUUGAAUUUGUCUCCUUUACAUCCAAAGUUGAAUUGAAUUCCCAAGAUAAAAGUUGAUUUCGCUCUAAGUUUGAACCUGUUGCAGAUGAAAAUCCAAUGGUGACCCACUCAGGCAAAACCUUCAUCAGAUCAAUUAUGUGAGAUAGACUAUAAUUUUCUAGAAGAGGAUUUGAGGUUUUCUGGUAAGACCAUAAAACGCUCAAAUUUUUUGCUGUAGCAUCAUAAGUAAUCCAGACAUCAGCAGUAUCUCCACUGUGAAAGCUAGCAUUCCAAGGAGUGUGGACAGCCGAACUAAGAGAAUUGCUAUUAAUCCCCACAUGCUCUACUAGAGGCUCUGGAUCCCAUUCUGGAUUUGGAAAUGAAUCAAACUCCACGUGAACUAUUUGGUUCUGAGAAGAAUCUUCAACUGUUGAAGUGUUGUAGAGGCCAAAAAAACCACCAGCAGAAUUCAGUGGGAUUUCAAAUCCAACGGGAGCAAGGAAGAAUGCAAGGCCAUGGCCGUAAGCGGAACGACCUUCGGUGUCGAUGAUGAAGGAGAAAUGCGUUGUGAAAUUGGAAAGUUGCCCAGAAUUGGAGUCCCAGAUGCGGACCCUCUCAGCAUGGGUGGCCCAACCAACACGGCAUGUGUAUGUGUAUCUGAAAAUUAACUCAACCGCACCAGCAGAAGGUACAGCAUCCCCACGGUAAAUUAUGCUGUUUACAUCUGGAUCAAAGCGAGUUAUUUUGAAGCUUACAGAAUUAGCAAAGGGAAGAAGUAAUGAAAAGAAGACAAAAAAGAUGCAUAGUGAUGAAAGGCAGAGAAGAGGGUAGCCAAUUAAUGCAGCAGAGCUACUUGCU